rnacentral:rRNA from 1 species
UGGGGAAUUUUGGACAAUGGGCGCAAGCCUGAUCCAGCCAUGCCGCGUGCGGGAAGAAGGCCUUCGGGUUGUAAACCGCUUUUGUCAGGGAAGAAAUCUUCUGAGUUAAUACCUCGGGAGGAUGACGGUACCUGAAGAAUAAGCACCGGCUAACUACGUGCCGGCAGCCGCGGUAAUACGUAGGGUGCAAGCGUUAAUCGGAAUUACUGGGCGUAAAGCGUGCGCAGGCGGUUUUGUAAGACAGAGGUGAAAUCCCCGGGCUCAACCUGGGAACUGCCUUUGUGACUGCAAGGCUUGAGUGCGGCAGAGGGGGGAUGGAAUUCCGCGUGUAGCAGUGAAAUGCGUAGAUAUGCGGAGGAACACCGAUGGCGAAGGCAAUCCCCUGGGCCUGCACUGACGCUCAUGCACGAAAGCGUGGGGAGCAAACAGGAUUAGAUACCCUGGUAGUCCACGCCCUAAACGAUGUCAACUGGUUGUUGGGAAGGUUCCUUCUCAGUAACGUAGCUAACGCGUGAANUUGACCGCCUGGGGAGUACGGCCGCAAGGUU